UUUAUAGCAUUUUAAAUGUUUUCUAAGGCUUUUGUAGUACUUUCUCUCAGAUUUACUAAAAUAUAUGAUUUUAAAUAGUGGUUUGUCCCAGUAUUUAAUUCCACCAGAAUUCCACCCCUAUGAUCCAAUAAGUUCCCACCAGGCCCUACCUCCAACAUUGAGGAUUACAAUGUAACCUGAGAUUUGGGUAGGGACACAGAUCCAAACCUUCUAAUUCUGCCCUUGCCCCUCCCAAAUCUCACGUCCUUCUCACUUUGCAAAAUGCAACCCAGCAGUCCCCCAAAGUCGCAACUCAUUGCAAUAUUAAUGCAAAAGUCCCAAAUCCAAGAUCUCAUCUGAACAAUGCUAAUCCCUUCUACCUAUCAGCCUAUAAAAUAAAAAACAAGUUAAUUGCUUCUAAGAUACAAUGGAGGUAGAAGCACUGGGCAUAUUCUCUGGAGAAAUUAGCCAAUAGAAAGGGGCUCAAGGUCCUGUGCAAGUUUGAAACCCAGUAGGAAAGUCAUUGAAUCUUAUUGCUCCAAAAUGACCUCCUUCAAUUCAAUGUUUCACAUCCAGGGCACACUGGUGCAAGUGGUGGGCUCACAAAGCCUUGGGCAGCUGUAACCCUGUGACUUUGCAGGGUUCAGUCCCCAGUUGGCUGGCACUGAGUACCUAUGCCUUUUCCAGGCACAAUUAAAAGCUGUAAGUGGAUCUCCUAUUCUGGGGUCUGGAGGAUGGUGGCCCUCUUCUCACAACCCCACUGGGAAGUUCUCCAGUGUGGACUCUGUGUUGGUGCUCUAAACCCAUAUUUCCCCUCUGCACUGCCCUAGUCAAGAUUCUCCAUUAAGACUCCACCCCACAGCAAGGUUCUGCUUGGACAUCCAUGCUUCUCCAUACAUCCUCAGAAAUCUAGGCUGAGGCUCCCAAGCCUCAACUCUUUCUCUGGGUACCCACAGGCUUAACACAAAGUGGAAGCCACAAGAAUCAUGGUUUGCACCUCAUGAACCAAUGGCUAAAGCUGUAUUGGAGGCGCUGGAGAGGCCAGGAUAUCAAGAGCAGUAUCCAAACACUGCACAGGGCACUGGGGCCCUGGGUGCGGCCCAUGAAAACAUCCUCCCCUCUUAGGCUUUAUGACCUGUGAUGGGUGGAGGGCUACUGCAGAGGUCUCUGAAAUGCCUUUGAGGCUUCCCCAUUGUCUUGGCUAUUCACAUUCAGCUCCUCCUUACUUAACCAGAUUUCUUCAGGUGGCUUGAAUUCCUCCCCGAAAAACAGGAUUUUGUUUUCUGUUUUCUGUUGCCAGGCCUCAAAUUUUCAAAACCUUUACACCGUGCUUUCCUUUUAAAUAUAAGUGCCAGUUUUCAUCAUUUUGUUGUUGUUGUUGUUGUUGUUGACACACAUGAGCAUGGGCUAUUAGAAGCAACCAGGCUCCAUCUUGAAUGCUGUGCUGCUUAGGAAUUUCUUCUACUAGAAACACGAAACCAUCACUCUCAAGUUCAAAGUUCCCAAAUCCCUAGGGCAGGGCCACAAUGCCACCAGAGUUUUGCUAAUCUAUAACAAAGGUGACCUUUGCUCCACUUCCCAGUGAGUUCCUCAUUUCCAUCUGACACCUCCUGAGCCUGGUGUUCAGUGUUCAUAUCAGUAUCAGCCACCUAGUGACAACCCAUUAAACAAGUAUUUAGGAAGUUUCAACUUUUCCUUCAUCUUUCUGCCUUCCUAUGACCCCUCCAAACUCUUUCAACCUCUGCCUACUGCCCAUUGCAAAAGCUGGUUCCACAUAUUUAGGUAUCUGUAAAUGGCUCAGGUUUUGUAUGCUGUACAGGCAAGGAGGGCCUCAUUUAACUUUCAAACAUCCAAGAGGCAAGGGAGGACCUAGCUCCUCACAUGGCCAGAAGAGGAUGAAGGGAUGGGGGAGGUGCUACACACUGUUUAACAACUACUUUUCAUGAGAACUCACUACCAAGAGAAUAGCACCACAGUGGUGGUGCUAGACCAUUUCUGAGAAUUCUACUCCCAUGAUCCAAACACCUCCCACCAGGCGCCACCUCCAACAUUGGGGAUUACAAUUCAACGUGAGAUGUGGGUGGGAACACAGAUGCAACCCGUAUCACUAUUAGAAAAAGUAGACAUCACGGAUGAGCAAAUAAGGAAUUUCAGCACUGAGACAGGAACUGUAACAAAUGGUUAUGUUAGAAAAUAGAAAACUAUUUUGAGAGAGAAAUAUUUCUAUCAGUGGGCUUACAAUUAUCACUCUAAUAAACACAACAUGACAUGAUAAUUUUUUCAGACAAAUAACAUUUCGAUUAUUCACCCCAGUAGAAAUGCAUUACCAGGCAUGUUAACACAUUUUCUCGGGCAGAAAACACAGGCAGAAACGUGAAUCUACACAAACGAAUUACAAACCUAGAAAAUGGUAAAGACGUAGAUAUGGAUGUGAAAGGGAAAUAUCUCGGCCCCCAAAUUACUAAGUUAAGGGAAAAUUCAGGGUGGGAACUGCUUAGGGUAAACCAGGCUCCCCAUCUAUUCAUCAUCAUUCCUCUGCUCACUGAGAUAAAUGUGUAUCUGAUUGCCUCCUUUGGAAGGGUUAAUCAGUAACUCAAAAGAAUAAAAUUUUUUGUCUUUUACCUACCAGCGACCUGGAAGCCUCCUAUCUACCUUGAGAUGUUCCACUUUUGCUUCGAGUUGUCCCUCCUUUCCAGACCAGACUGAAGAAAUGUUGAUCUUACAUAUGUUGCUCCAUGUCUGGUGUCUCCCAAAAUAUAAAAACCAAGCUGUGCUCGGACCACCUUGGGCACAUGUCACCAGUACCUCCUGAGGCCAUGUCAUGGGUGCGCAACCUCACCCUUUCUAAAUUGCCUGAGACCUGUAUCCAAUUUUUGGGGUCCACACAGAGGACAUUUUUUUUUAUUUUAUUGAUCAGUCACUAAUAAUUCAUACUGUAAACAAAUAUGUGUGUGGAGAUUACAACUUUAAUAAAAGUAAUAACAAUAUGAUAAAGAAUGUAGUGAAAUGUAAGCAUAUAAUAAGAUGUUUUAAACGUACAUAAACUACUAUAAUAUUUUUUGAGGACAGGUAUGAUGAAUUGAAUAUGAACUUUGUAAACCCAAGAGCAAGCAGUUUUUUAAGUGACCUAACUAAUAAGUCAAGAGUAGAGAAAAUAUAACUGAAUGAUAAAUAUACUAAAUCCACCAUCAGGCAGAAAAACAGGAAAAUUAAGAAUAAGAAAAGGAUGAAACAUGGAAAACAACUAGACAGCCAGUUGACUUAAAUGCAUGUAUAUAAAAUUAUUCUAAUAUACUUGAUCUGAAUGCUUCAGUUAAGAAAAAUUGUCAAAUUUUACAUAAAAAUACAAGAGAACAUUAUACUUUGUAAAACAACCCCAUUUUAAAAAUGAAGACCUUUGUGAAAGUUGGGUAAAAGUUAAAGGAUAGAAAAUAUAUUAAUGGAUCACUAAAUCUUACAGCUACAAAAUCUUAGAGCUAUUAUUACCUGUUAAUAACACAUACACACAAAGAGAAUGAGAGAGCUAGAGAUAUAUUGAGAGAGACGGACUGACUGACCGACCAAAUAAAUGAAAUAUAUAUAACCACAGAAAUAAAAUAGCAUUUAUUGUCUUCCAGCUGAUUAUCUGUCUUGAUUUUAUCUUGUAUUAAUUUCUAUGGGUCCUUGGAACUCCAUAGCCUGAGAAAUAAAUGAAAUUUCUGCUCUCUCCAACCUGGUACCCUCUGACUCUUCUCCACUUCUUUGCAUCCAGGUGGUGGUAUUCUGUAGUUUUUCCAUUGGAAUUUAGGUCUGUGCAUCACAGCUGGAGUUUUAGUACAACAGAAAACUUUGCUGAGUGGUUGGUCCUUUCUCCUUAUCCACUAAUUUAAUUUUUUUUGUUUGACUUUGUUUUUGUGUUUUUGAGAGAGGGUCUCACUUUGAAAUUCAGGCUGGAGUACAGUGGCCCAAUCUCCACUCACUGAAAUAUGCCUUUCAGGUUCAAGGGAAUCUCCUGCAUCAGCUCCCUGAGAGGCCGGGAUUGCAACAAAAGAAAACCAAUAUCUGCAUGGUAACAUCUCACUGAAGGCAGGAUGUAAAGGUUUCUGCAGCACAGCUGGACUUUCAGGACAACAGAACGCUUUGGGUCUCACACUGUAAUUGAGGCUGGAGUACAGUGGCAUGACCUAUGUGGAAUGAAACCUCCUCCUCCCAGGUUCAAGGGCUUCUCCUGCCUCAGCCUCUUCAGUAGCUGGGAUAACAACAAAAUGAAACAAAAAUCUACAUGUUAACAUCUCACUCAGGGCUGGAUGAAAAGAGACGGGGUUUUACCACGUUGGCCAGGAUGGUCUUGAUCGCCUGAUCUUGUGAUCCACCCGCCUCCACCUCCCAAAGUACUAGGAUUACAGGCAUAAGACACUGCACCCGGACUACAGACAUUUAAAAUACCUUUCAAAGCUUUAUGUCACCAAUUUAUGAAGAGUUAAGUAUAGUCCAUCCAAGAAUAUUUUACUCUAAUUACUUUUUUCCCCAUUUUUUAAGAAUAUAUUUGACAAAUGGAAGGGUAUGAUAGAAUCGUACUCAAGAAAUCUCUCCUAGGCUUCUCUCCCCAUUUGCUUGUGGUGACACUUCUUAACUCUUAACCUAAUGGAGAGAGAUAGAGGAAAACACAUGCACGUGCACGUGCACACACACACACACACACACACAGAGCGAGAGCGAGCGAGCGCGCACGUGAGCGCACGAACGUACGAGCACGCGCAAGAAAAAUAGAAGCACCAGACUGUGUGAGGCAAUCUGCAGCAUGAAACUACUAUACAUGUUUGGGAAGUAGGUUAUAAAUAAGCUACUUAUAUUGUGGAAACAUGAAAAAAAUGUUAUGAAUAGUAUGUGAUUAAUACAAUUUUGAUUCCAACUGAAAUAGAGGCUAUAGCAGAUACACCAAAAGGGAGAAACUAUAAAAAACAAAUUCUAUAUGGUUACAGGCAGGAUUUUAGUUUUUUUUAAGAUUCAGAAUGUAUGAAUAUGUAUAAGACCAUUAAUGUCUGAAGUAAAAACAAAAAAUUGUUCAAGUAUCUUUUGCAUAAUGAAAACAACUGUAUUAACCGAAUACAUGGAAUUUUUGUUUUUUUGGGGUGGGAGGUGGCAUUCUGAACAGUAAAAAACUUUUAUCAGUUGGAAAUACUGUAUGUACAUAGUAUUUUCCAAAGUGAUAACUGUUUUUAAUCUACAAUUUCUAAAAUUAUAUUAUAGUGAAUACAUGUUUACUUAUGUAACUUUAAGUGAUAUCCUAAAAUGAAAGAACAGUAAGAGAGUUUACUUGUUACAGCUCUUUUAUAAUUUCUCAAAGAGAGUAGUCUAUUUACCGGUAUUUAUGUUUUUUCUAUCAGUGAAAUACUUUUUCAUAUUAGUCCAUUUUCUUUCAAUUUCUUAAGGUUUACCUGAUGCAAAAAUUGUGUGUGUGUGUGUGUGUGUGUAUUUUUUUUUAGGUGGAGUCUUGCUUUUGUCACCCAGGCUGGAGUGCAAUGGCGUGAUCUCUGCUCACUUCAACCUCUGCCUCCUGGGUUCAAGUGGUUCUCCAGCCUCAGCCUCCCAAGUAUCUGGGAUUACAGGUACCUGACACCAUGCCAGGCUAAUUUUUGUAUUUUUGGUAGAGACAGGG